GACGAACGCUGGCGGCGUGCUUAACACAUGCAAGUCGAACGGAAAGGCCCCUUUGGGGGUACUCGAGUGGCGAACGGGUGAGUAACACGUGAGUAACCUGCCCUUGACUUCGGGAUAACUUCAGGAAACUGGGGCUAAUACCGGAUAGGAAUCCUUGCUGCAUGGUGGGGGUUGGAAAGCUUCGGCGGUUUUGGAUGGACUCGCGGCUUAUCAGCUUGUUGGUGGUGUAGUGGCUUACCAAGGCUUUGACGGGUAGCCGGCCUGAGAGGGCGACCGGCCACAUUGGGACUGAGAUACGGCCCAGACUCCUACGGGAGGCAGCAGUGGGGAAUAUUGCACAAUGGGCGGAAGCCUGAUGCAGCAACGCCGCGUGCGGGAUGACGGCCUUCGGGUUGUAAACCGCUUUCAGCAGGGGCGAAGCUUGUGGUGACGGUACCUGCAGAAGAAGCACCGGCUAACUACGU
rnacentral:rRNA from 1 species